GGAUGCGAUCAUACCAGCACUAAAGCACCGGAUCCCAUUAGAACUCCGAAGUUAAGCGUGCUUGGGCGCGAGUAGUACUAGGAUGGGUGACCUCCUGGGAAGUCCUCGUGUUGCAUUCC
rnacentral:rRNA from 1 species